rnacentral:rRNA from 1 species
AUACGAAGGGGGCUAGCGUUGUUCGGAAUCACUGGGCGUAAAGCGCGCGUAGGUGGAUCAAUUAGUUGAGGGUGAAAUCCCGGGGCUCAACCUCGGAACUGCCUUCAAUACUGUUGAUCUUGAGACCGAGAGAGGUGAGUGGAAUUCCUAGUGUAGAGGUGAAAUUCGUAGAUAUUAGGAAGAACACCAGUGGCGAAGGCGGCUCACUGGCUCGGUUCUGACGCUGAGGUGCGAAAGCGUGGGGAGCAAACAGGAUUAGAAACCCUAGUAGUCC